UACGAAGGGGGCUAGCGUUGUUCGGAAUUACUGGGCGUAAAGGGCGCGUAGGCGGUGUGUCAAGUCAGGUGUGAAAGCCCCCGGCUCAACCGGGGAACUGCGCUUGAAACCGAGUGGCUCGAGUCAGCUAGAGGUACACGGAACUUCCAGUGGAGCGGUGAAAUGUGUUGAUAUUGGAAGGAACACCGGAGGCGAAAGCGGUGUACUGGGGCUGGUCUGACGCUGAGGCACGAAAGCCAGGGGAGCGAACGGG
rnacentral:rRNA from 1 species